GACCCCGGGUCACGGAGCCGGGAGAAAGAGCCAAGAUCCAGGGCAAGGUGCACGUGUCCCCAGACGUGUGACCAGCUGACCACCACUGUGCAUUCCAUGACAGCAAAAGCCAGGAGAAAGCCCGAUCACACUAACAGCCGAGUGUCUGCAGAGCAUGUUUUCUCAACUCAGAACUAUUGACAUUUGGGGCCAGAGAGAAUACAUCCUCCUCUUUUCAUCCUCCUUGCUGGUUGGAAUGCAGAUAUACUGGCCAGAAUCUGAGUGGCUACCUUGGGCUAUGGUGGAGCAACAAGAGAAAAGGAACCUGAACCCCCAAUGAGUUUAUGAAGUCACCCCACUAGCCCUGGGCUGCU